rnacentral:misc_RNA from 1 species
AAGUCGUAACAAGGUUUCCGUAGGUGAACCUGCGGAAGGAUCAUUAAAAAAAUUCAAAAAAGAAAACCUCUUUUACAUCCACACGUGUUAUUUUUUAGAUUGAUUGGAUUCGUAGUCUUUAUUGAUUUCGAAUUCUUUCUGUUACUGAGGGGUGUUUGUUUUGAGAGACUAUAAUGGUCUCACUUACAAAAAUUCUCUCUUUAACUUUCACUUUUUAAACCCACACAAACCUAAAACAAAAACUUAAAUCAAACCAACAAAUUAUAAACUUUUAUAGAGUAAAAUCUAUGAAAAAAAUAAAACAAUAAGAGUACAACUCAUAACGAUGGAUGACUAGGUUCUCGC